UCCUAUCCUCCUCUCCCUUCAACAAUACUCACUCACCCACUCGCCAUCUUCAAAUAUUCUGAAGCCAAUUCCUAGAAAAUUACAAAUCCAAACUUCAAUUUCUUCUAAUUUCAAUUUUAUUUGACUUUCUUUGAUUUUAAUGGCAAUGGAAGACAAAGAAAUUCAUUCUCCUAAUUCCCUCCUGUUUGGUUUCCCUGAAAAAGACUACAAAAUUAAAAUAAUUGGAUUACCUUUUCAUGUUCGCAAUUUCAAUGCUUCAAAUCAAAUCAUGCAUGUUUAUUUCAAAUUGAUUUGAUCAUAAUCCUAUGUAUCUAGGUGAUGAGUUUGAUUAAUUGGUGAUAUGUAGAUAUGCAUUGGAUGUGAACAUGGAAAGAGCUGAAGAUGUGCUCACGCACGAGACUACUCAUCUGGCGGAAGACCCUGCGACUUGACCUGUAUUUGAAGUUCGUCUUGUGCAGGAAAGGGGCAAAGCUAGGAUGCAGGAGCCAAGCAUUUAUAAACUUAAAAAAGGGCUAAUAAGAAAUCUAUCAAUUUUACUCCAUUUAUUUCCAUCCAAGGCAUUACACCAGGUGAUCAAGCACCGGAUCAGAGUUAGCGACGUCGACCCGAAACAUGCUUUUGUCAAGCCAACUAUUGUGCUUCACUGCGAGGUUCUGAGCUAUUGCAUGUCAGGGUUUUUUUUUGGGGGAGGGGGGGGGAUGAUUCAGGUUCACCCUUUUGACAUGGUGUUUAAGAGAUAAGAAUGUUUAUUGAGUUUGGUUAACCGUUUUUGGCAAUGAGAUUUAAUUCCCUAACUUACGUUUUGUUUUGUGUAUAAGUGUUUUAUGGACUUAAGUGUGUGUAUAUAUAUAAACAUAUGAGAGUUAUUUUGUUCA